CUAAAUUUUAAAUUAAUAUAUUUAUAGUUAAAAAAAAUAAAUAAAUUAAAUACAGGGACAACAGCAGAAAAGUGAAGCAAACAAGCACAACUAAACGAAAGUUUAAAUGCAAAUAUUUGCCCAAUGUUUGUGCUCUACUCCCAUGAGGCUGGGCCAACAAAAUUUGAUAUGAGUUUAUGGAUAAUAAUUUAAUGAAAAGUAAUUGCAGCACGUGCGAACAUAUCCCAACAUGGCUGUUGCAACUUAAAGCUGCCGCAAAAUGUGGCACACAGAUAUUGGCCAACAGACCAGGACCAGGCAUUCAUUUGCGUGUUAAUUGUCGAAAUGAUUCGUCGCCUGACGACUUUAAAAAUUGCAUGUAAAAUAUUGUAAAUUGUUGCGGUUUGCAGUCAACUCUGAGGGAAAUACCCUGCACGGAUAGGCGACGCUUGCAAAGAUGCUUUGAGUUGUAGAGCAAAGGAUUGUUCAAAAGAAGUUUUUGUAAAAUUCCAGUUACUAUAGAGUAGCAAAUGAAGAAUGACGAAUUUUGUUAUAAAAUUUUAAAUAUACAUAUAUACAUUUUUGUUA